AUGUUCACUUCUGAGCACACAGAUGAACACUGGGACAACACAGAGAUUAGCAUGGCCCCUGCACGUGGUGACAGGCAAAUGCAGGUCAUGCUCCAUGCUUAA
rnacentral:snRNA from 1 species